rnacentral:rRNA from 1 species
UACGUAGGCAGCGAGCGUUGUUCGGAAUUACUGGGCGUAAAGAGUGUGUAGGCGGUGUUCCAAGUCUGGUGUGAAAUCUCCCGGCUCAACUGGGAGGGUGCGCCGGAAACUGGGAUGCUAGAGGAUGGGAGAGGUAAGCGGAAUUCCUGGUGUAGCGGUGAAAUGCGUAGAUAUCAGGAGGAACACCUGUGGUGUAGACAGCUUACUGGACCAUUUCUGACGCUGAGACACGAAAGCGUGGGUAGCAAACAGG